rnacentral:rRNA from 1 species
UACAGAGGUCCCAAGCGUUGUUCGGAUUCACUGGGCGUAAAGGGUGCGUAGGUGGUGAGGUAAGUCGGAUGUGAAAGCUCGGAGCUCAACUCCGAAAUGGCAUUGGAAACUACCUUGCUCGAGGGUUGGAGGGGGGACUGGAAUGCUUGGUGUAGCAGUGAAAUGCGUAGAUAUCAAGAAGAACACCUAUGGCGAAGGCAGCUCUCUGGGACGGUACUGACGCUGAGACGCGAAAGCGUGGGGAGCGAACAGG